rnacentral:rRNA from 1 species
CUACGCACUCCUACGGGAGGCAGCAGUGGGAAUAUUGCACAAUGGGCGCAAGCCUGAUGCAGCCAUGCCGCGUGUAUGAAGAAGGCCUUCGGGUUGUAAAGUACUUUCAGCAGUGAGGAAGGUGGAUAUGUUAAUAGCAUAUUCAUUUGACGUUUAGCUGCAGAAGAAGCACCGGCUAACUCCGUGCCAGCAGCCGCGGUAAUACGGAGGGUGCGAGCGUUAAUCGGAAUUACUGGGCGUAAAGCGCAUGCAGGUGGUUUGUUAAGUCAGAUGUGAAAGCCCGGGGCUCAACCUCGGAAUUGCAUUUGAAACUGGCAAACUAGAGUACUGUAGAGGGGGUAGAAUUUCAGGUGUAGCGGUGAAAUGCGUAGAGAUCUGAAGGAAUACCGGUGGCGAAGGCGGCCCCCUGGACAGAUACUGACACUCAGAUGCGAAAGCGUGGGGAGCAAACAGGAUUAGAUACCCUGGUAG